GGAUAGCAUCACACUUUCAACUUAUAUCGCAAACGUGACAUCAAGUGAAAUAAGGCCUAUAACUAAUAAUACGAUUUUGUCGAAGAAAUCAAGUUCACAGUAGCUCUAAGAUGGUUAUCACUAUUGCUAUUAUCACCGUUUCAGUUGUUCUCGGAAUGGCCGCUUCAAGCGCCUACUCGUUUUUUAGAGUAUCCAAAGCGAAAGAAGAAAGCAUACAAAAGUCAUCGGGGCUCACCAGUUCGUCUAUACAUUUAUAUUAUCCGAUGGUUUACUGAGUGGAAUCAACGAAUUAAUUUUUGGACAGCACCUUAUGGAACUGAAUACAAAUCAACGAGUCAAUGUUUCGACAUGCAGCACCUUAGAACGAACUAGACUUAUUUUGGAGCAUUGUAUUUGAAGAACGUACAUGAGAGCUUUUGUAAAUAUAUUAUGGCACACUUCCUAUUGGCUAUCGUUCACUGUGUAUAUAACUUCUGUGCCAUCGAGAACUGAUAGAAAGGUUUUUAGACGGAGGCUGUUAUUAAAGAUUGCCUAUAGAUGGUUAUGCAUACGUCUGCUACGAAGAUAAAGUAAGAUUUGUAAUAUAUUGGGAAUUGACUAGGCUAGCGCUUCAUAAUAGCUUAAUGCUUGUUCUAUAACAAAUACAUUUCAUACAUAGACGUUCUAUAUUUCUAACAGUUUGUAAUAUAAUAGCAGUUGUGCUAUAGAUUUAGCGGAUAACGGUUUUUAUGCAGGUUUUAAGUGUAUGACUGUUGUGUCUUGUGACUUUUUAUAAGGAAAUGUCGAAUUCAGUCCAAUAUUGUUUUCAUGAUCCAUAGAUACACCGCGGUAUAGGGGAAGCCUCACAUAUCGAUUUUUUCCACGAGAAACGUCAUAUGUUCGUUUGGGGGUGGGGGGGUUGGCAGCUGUGACGUUUCUCUGUAAACAUCAUGGAAAAAUUCGAUAGUUUUUAUCUUUGCAGAAUAUAAAAAAGAAAAUAAUUUGAUACAAACAGCAGUCUAUAUAUUCGUAAUACCAUACCUGUUCUAUACCUAUACAUUUAUAUUAUUACGCCUUCCUUGCAUUGAAAACACUCAAAUUUCAAGAAAAACGCGCUAAAAUUAUCAAUAUUUCAAUUUCAUGCAAAAAAGUUGUUUUGAGAAACGUUGGAAAUUUUGAAGUUCAUAUUUAUAAUAAAAAAAGAGUAUGUCAUAUUCCUCGCGGAAGCAUCGCCAAUAGCCGACCGAAAAAAUGUAUAUAGAAAAUUACCUUAUUCAUGUGUACUAUAAGAAC